UACGUAGGGUCCGAGCGUUGUCCGGAAUUAUUGGGCGUAAAGGGCUCGUAGGCGGAUUUGCCAGUCAGGGGUGAAAUCCCGGGGCUCAACCUCGGAACUGCCUCUGAUACAGCAAGUCUUGAGUCCGGAAGAGGUGGGUGGAAUUCCUAGUGUAGAGGUGAAAUUCGUAGAUAUUAGGAAGAACACCAGUGGCGAAGGCGGCCCACUGGUCCGGUACUGACGCUGAGGUGCGAAAGCGUGGGGAGCAAACAGG
rnacentral:rRNA from 1 species